UGUGACUCAUCUUCCAUUCCCUGGUGUAUUUCUAAUGUGUACCCAUAGUGUGAGUCCAUGGAGGCUGCCAGGUUUUUGUAAUCCCUCUUCUACCCCUACCCUCAACCUCCCAGGCAGCCUGAGAUCUGACAAAGAGAAGUUAAAAAACGCAAAUAUUCCAAAUCAGUGACUGGAAAAAGUGAUAUCACAAGCGAAACAAGAAUCCAGUCCAUAGGCCAAGACUGCUAUCUCUCUCUCUUUUUUUUUUUUUUUUUUGAGAUAGAGUCUCGCUCUGUUGCCCAGGCUGGAAUGCAGUGGCGCGAUAUUGGCUGACUGCAAGCUCCGCCUCCCGGGUUCACGCCAUUCUCCUGAGUAGAGUAGCUGGGACUACAGGCGACCGCCACCACACCCAGCUAAUUUUUUUGUAUUUUUUUUAGUAGAGACGGGGUUUCACCGUGUUGGCCUGGAUGGUCUCGAGCUCCUGACCUAGCUACCUGCCUGCCUCAGCCUCCCAAAGUGCUGGGAUUACAGGGGUGAGCCACCACGCCCGGCCCAAGUCUGCUAUCUCUAUUCCAACAAGUUCAUCUGCAUCUUGUUAUUGUGCCGCGAGAAAUAGCAGCCUGACCCUCAGUUUGAUCCGGGAUAAAAAUUUGGCACACAAGCCAGGAAUUAAGGACAGUGCUGCAUUCAGCGGCUGGCAACUUGCUAUGAGACAGUCUUCAGGAGGAUCCCAGAAGCUGCUGGAGUCAAGGAAGCUUUUCUUUUGUGCUAUUAACAGAUUUUAACAAUUAAGUAAAGUAUACUCCUAUGAACAAAAUUUGGAGCAUAUUUGUUUCUCUCUGCCUUGUCCCUCUAGAAUUUGGAAACUAUCUCAGGAUACAACUGGAAACAUUGGUUAUAUUACCAAGGCUUUGACUGAAACAUCAUAUUUAAAAAUGUGGAUAGAAUGCCUAAUUUCAAGAGUUUUCAGGCCAAUAUUUAUGAAUCCUGUCGCUGUACUUGAGCCAGCCAAUUAAGAGUCAGCUUGUUGACACACGUUAAAUAUGUGGUAAUAAAGAAAUGAGAAGAAAAUAGUUUGCACAGUCCGAGUCAAUUCUCAUAUUUCAAAAGAGAAACAAAGAAUGCAACUGGCAAUACGUAAUCCGAAUCCUCCCAUCUUAGCUUCUCAAAUAAAAGCAGAUAGCUGUCAAUAAUUUUGGAAGUGACUUCUGGUCCCUCACCUGGCUCUGACUUCAUCCCUGGUACGGAUUCACUCUCUGCUCAAUCCUCCAACUCAACGCAUGAUGGACCAAAUAGUUAUCAUUCUCCAUUUUCAACUCCUUAUCUCCAUCCACUCCAUAGGGCAUCCAGAAACUGAUAUAGCCCUGCUCCCCAACCCCAGUCUGAGCUUGUAAAAAGCCCCAUGGGAUGACAUACUUGAAGGGCCUCAAUGGUAACAGCUAAUAUGGAUUCAAUUAAAUUGCACUGUGUACAACUCCUGGAGUCCAUGCAGCAGUCCUAGUACAAAGUCUAACACCAACAACUUUGACCCCAGAACCAAUGCAAUGAAGACCCACAGAGAUCUGCAUUGCCACAUCCUCAACAACCAAUAUUCCGUCCAGGCUAUGACUGGCUCUAGAUGAACCUAAGUGCCUUUCGCCAUAGUCAUCUCUCCAGGGGAAAGCUGGGGCCAGUUGUCUUCUCAAUUCCAUAGCUCACCAUGCCUCACACUUCUGGUAUCUUCACUUGUCUUCUGACACCUAAGCCCCUCCCUGGUUUAAUCUCUUUUGUACCUUCAUCACGAUCACUGCUCUGUAAUUCCACUCUUGUGCCCUCCCUAACAAUCCUUUCCAGAGGACUUUCCUCACUUUCAGUCACCCCCAGACAUGCCCAAAACUGUUUUACCUAGAAUAGUUCCAGAUUUAAAAGAUUAAAUUCAGUCACCCCACUCUCUGAAUACAAACUUUUACUUUUCACUCUUAAAUUUCCCUCACUCAGUUACUCUCCUUAUGCCAACUCUUUGUCUUAACCAGAUCUGUCAUCCAAUGACCCUCUCAACUUUCUCUCAGUUAGCGCCUUUCUACUGUCACUUCUUUCCCUACCUGGAAUCUACUCUAAACAUUGUAAAAUGCAGUACACCUUUUUGAGCAAUCUCAUUCAUUUCCAUUGGGUAAGACAAUACCAAAUAUUCUUUCUCCAGCCGAGAUUCCCCCCUUGAAACUCUCAAUCCCCC
rnacentral:lncRNA from 10 species